UAAUUUAUUAACAUUGCAAUUUUAUUGCCAGGAAGGGGGAGAGGCGCUUUGGCCUCCAAGCACCAAAGUAACUGGACUGGCUUUGUCUACUAUACACCUUGACUGGGUUAGUGGGAAGUGUCAUAUGCUGCUCAGCCUGAGGCUGCAAACUGCCUUCUUUCUAGAGAAGGCUUACCUGGCAACAGUGACAUAUUCCUGCAUCAAGGUUAGUUUCCUGCUAUGCAUUCUACACAGAGCUAUUUGGGUCUGAAAACUUUAGUUGACAAAAAAUGUGGAAACCAUGCUUUUGACUGGUGUCAAUUAUCAGGACUGCCCUGAAUUGCAACAGCUUCACAGACUUCUCGACCCAAUUCAAAUAAAUAAAUAUUAUCUUCAGAGUUUAGGAAUAGGAUAUCUAAAGAAAUGACUCCUCCCAUCUGAGACUGCCUGCUCAUUAAGAUUUACUGGACAAGCUUUCCUUUGCAUUCAGCAAACAUCUGAGUUCUGUUUUGUGGAGUAGAGCCUUCAUCUGAUGAAGUGGGCCCUAAACUACAAAACUGUAUGUCACAAAUCUGUAAGACUUUAAAUAUGCUACAAGACUGUAUUGUUCCUCACAACCUCCAAAUUACAAAAUCUUGGAGAUAUCAGAACAUUUUUUUACUCUUUUUCUGAAAAUGCCCACUUUUUAGGAAAUGAUCCAGAUUGGGGUUUCCCCAUCUCGUAUGUGGGAGAAACAAAAGACAUAAUGUACUUCCUGUCUACCUCAUAGAAUCAUAGAAUAGCAGAGUUGGAAGGGGCCUCCAAUGCCAUCAAGUCAAACCCCCUGCUCAAAGCAGGAACCUCGUAACUUUCCAUAGCAAAGGAGCUUAUAUACAGCAAGCACAAACUGGUGACCGGUAUAAUGUUAGAUUUCUAAAACCAGUCCCACGAAAAAUGCCUUAUGAAGCAGAAUCCAGUCUUCACGUUAUAGCAGCAUAGAUUAUUGUUUCUGGACCAGCCUGGUUCAUAUGUGAUAUAUUUUAACCAAAGGGAGAUAUGUCUAAAUGGAAUUAAAUUAUUUAUUACAUUUCUAUCUCACCUAAUAGCCAAAGCACUCUGGGUGAUUCACAGAAUAUAAAACCUUAAGUUUGGUCCAGAAGCUACAGUUAGUGCAAAAUGCAGCAGCCCAGCUAUUGUCAGGAACGACUUCAGCAUGUAACUCCUUUGCUGAGGGAACAGGAGUGCUGCAUAUUUGCUACUGUGCAAGGUUUAAGUUUUUGUUAUUGGUGAAUAAAGCUGUAAAAGCAACUUAGGACGAUA